rnacentral:rRNA from 1 species
AGNCGUGACUUUCUGGUUGAUUACCGUCAAAUAAAGACCAGUUACUGCCUCUAUCCUUCUUCACCAACAACAGAGCUUUACGAUCCGAAAACCUUCUUCACUCACGCGGCGUUGCUCCAUCAGACUUGCGUCCAUUGUGGAAGAUUCCCUACUGCUGCCUCCCGUAGGAGUAGGGGGAAUCUUCCACAAUGGACGCAAGUCUGAUGGAGCAACGCCGCGUGAGUGAAGAAGGUUUUCGGAUCGUAAAGCUCUGUUGUUGGUGAAGAAGGAUAGAGGCAGUAACUGGUCUUUAUUUGACGGUAAUCAACCAGAAAGUCACGGCUAACUACGUGCCAGCAGCCGCGGUAAUACA